GUCCUUGUGCAGCUGCGGCAGGCAGGAGCUGGAACAUAUGCCUGUCUGAAAGAGGACGAGCUGGGAAGGCUUCUCAGGAGAAGGCACACAAAGAAAGCCAAUCUUCUCCACAAAGCGUGGAAUGACUUAAACACUCUAUUGUAUUAAAUAUGAAUGAGCCCUCAUUGUGGAGCACAGUGUGUGGGGACCCAUGGUGUCCUCCCAUUAGCCACAAGAUUAACCAGAUUACACGGGAAGCUGCUAAGGUAAAUAAAGCCAGCCUUCUGUCACUUCCUCCCCCAGGCCUGGCCAACAAGGGGCUGAAGAGCUGGCCCCUUUGUAGUCAACUGGGUGGAAAGAAGAAAUAACCAUGAAUGUCAUGCUUGGUAAUUAAAAAAGUUGUCUCCAGGGACUAUCUAUGAGAAACAGUGUGAAAACAUCUUUCUGAUCAACUAACAUGUCAGUAUUGUUCCCUUUGACCAGAUAGGACUAAUCUAACCCUCCCCUAAACAGGAGCCUGUAUUCCCUUUUGUGGUUCAGGGACAAAAACCCCCACAAAACGUGAAUUAAAGCUGCCUGAUUCUGCUCAUUAGGGGUGAGAGCGGAUCAUUCUGUGCCUACAAAUCUGCCUGCCUGUUAACCCUCUUCCAUCCCUCUCUACAUGUGGGUGCCUCUUCCCUCCACUUCUGCACUCCUGCUCGUUCUUGUGAACAGAUAAACGACCGUGGUUAAUUGGUUUAUGGAAAUUGCACCAAAGUUACAAUUCUCAUAGCAGCUUGA
rnacentral:lncRNA from 1 species